GUGAAUCAUCAAAUUUUUGAACGCAAAUUGCACUCUCUACGGAGAGUAUGCCUGUUUGAGGGCCAGUAUUAAUAAAAAUCGGUGUGUUGCUUCUUUGUGACGCUCCGGGGUUUGCGUCAUCUUAAUAUCCUUUAGGUUGUAAGAGCCAUAAAACUGACUUUUUUUGCGCUUUUUUAGACGUACA
rnacentral:misc_RNA from 1 species